GCCUAACACAUGCAAGUCGAACGGUAACAGGAAGCAGCUUGCUGCUUCGCUGACGAGUGGCGGACGGGUGAGUAAUGUCUGGGAAACUGCCUGAUGGAGGGGGAUAACUACUGGAAACGGUAGCUAAUACCGCAUAACGUCGCAAGACCAAAGAGGGGGACCUUCGGGCCUCUUGCCAUCGGAUGUGCCCAGAUGGGAUUAGCUAGUAGGUGGGGUAACGGCUCACCUAGGCGACGAUCCCUAGCUGGUCUGAGAGGAUGACCAGCCACACUGGAACUGAGACACGGUCCAGACUCCUACGGGAGGCAGCAGUGGGGAAUAUUGCACAAUGGGCGCAAGCCUGAUGCAGCCAUGCCGCGUGUAUGAAGAAGGCCUUCGGGUUGUAAAGUACUUUCAGCGGGGAGGAAGGCGAUAAGGUUAAUAACCUUGUCGAUUGACGUUACCCGCAGAAGAAGCACCGGCUAACUCCGUGCCAGCAGCCGCGGUAAUACGGAGGGUGCAAGCGUUAAUCGGAAUUACUGGGCGUAAAGCGCACGCAGGCGGUCUGUCAAGUCGGAUGUGAAAUCCCCGGGCUCAACCUGGGAACUGCAUUCGAAACUGGCAGGCUAGAGUCUUGUAGAGGGGGGUAGAAUUCCAGGUGUAGCGGUGAAAUGCGUAGAGAUCUGGAGGAAUACCCGGUG
rnacentral:rRNA from 1 species